GGCUCCGUGGCGCAACUGUAUAGCGCAUCAGAUUUCGGCUCUGAGGGUUGGGGGUUAGAAUCCCUCCGGGGUCACAA
rnacentral:tRNA from 4 species